rnacentral:lncRNA from 1 species
GUAAAUGCAUGAUGUGCCUCGUUUCUUUCUUUUUUCCCGAUUUUCUGUCCAUUGACCGCCUCAAAAAGAUUAGAUAUUGUUGAAUUAAAGCCUAAUGCAACAUUCCCAGCAAGGUAAAGGCACCUAGCGUAUUGUUGAAUCUGACCCAACUUGUUGUUGCUCGACAUCAUCUCAACAGGUACAGAACUUUGAACUUUGAACUUUGCUCGACAUCAUCUUUCUUUACGCCGAGUUAACAUAAAUCUUUGCAACCUACAGAGUUGCUGAAUUAACACAAUACUUUUGGAGAUAAGGACAUAGUACAGAGCUAUGAAAAUAUUGAGUGCACCCUACAAGUUGCUGAAUUGCAUUCCAUUUAUCAUUGCAAUCUUCAUGCAUCUCAUAAAGGAGUAUAUCAUCUAGCUUCAGGAAUGCUAAGAAAAGAAGAUGCAAGCAGAAGGCUUGCAGUCGUCUAAGGAUUUACAUAUAUAUCAUGCCCUUUUACAUGUACGUCAUCUCAGAUUUGGAUCAACCUCAGAGAGACAGAGACACAUGAUGGCAUUAACAUAUCAGGAUUCAGGAAUCAAAUGAUCAGUUUCAUCACGAAUUAGCAACGACCAAAUAAGUAUCAAAAAGACAUAUAACAGCCAACAGCGGACAAACAACAUCCACUAAGGCAAAGAACACCGUGACAUGAAUUAGCACCUUACCACACGGAGAGAAAUUUUGGUUGUGCCAUACGCAGU